rnacentral:rRNA from 1 species
UACGUAGGUGACCAGCGUUGUCCGGAUUUACUGGGCGUAAAGAGCGCGCAGGCGGUCGUUCAAGUCGAGUGUGAAAGCCCUCGGCUCAACUGGGGAGGGUCACUCGAUACUGAUCGACUUGAAGGCAGGAGAGGGAAGCGGAAUUCCCGGUGUAGUGGUGAAAUGCGUAGAUAUCGGGAGGAACACCAGUGGCGAAGGCGGCUUCCUGGCCUGCACUGACGCUCAUGCACGAAAGCGUGGGGAGCAAACAGG